AAAGAGCAGACACCAACCUUGGCCCCAUUCAUCCCACAGUUAACAGCACGCAGGAAAUAUCAGUCAGAAUUAACAGACUGCUUCCUAACACUAAAUAUGAGGUCUGGGUAAGAGUCUAUUCCCAAGAUAGACUUGUGCAUACAAACAGUCCACGAGUGACUGUCAUCACCCUUCCUGAACUACCACACAUCAGAUUGAAAAAUGCAACCGCACGCACACUUUUCAUUAACUGGAAGGCACCAUCAGACAGAUCUGUUUUGCGACAUGCUUUUCAGUAUACAGCCUUUGGUGACAGUAUCUGGGAAAAUCUCACCAUGGAGCAAACAACUGCUGGACAAACCUAUUUUGCCAACAUCAUUCAUCUGGCACCUGCCACCUCAUACAUAUUUAGAGUUCAGGU